CGACGACUCUUGGCGGUGGAUCACUCGGCUCGUGCGUCGAUGAAGAACGCAGCCAGCUGCGAGAAGUAAUGUGAAUUGCAGGACACAUUGAUCAUCGAUACUUCGAACGCACAUUGCGGCCCCGGGAGUUCUUUCCCGGGGCCACGCCUGUCUGAGGGUCGCCCC
rnacentral:rRNA from 1 species